rnacentral:rRNA from 1 species
GCUGGCGGCGUGCUUAACACAUGCAAGUCGAACGAUGAUGCUCCAGCUUUGUUGGGGUGGAUUAGUGGCGAACGGGUGAGUAACACGUGAGUAACCUGCCCUCUUCUUUGGGAUAACGGUCGGAAACGGCUGCUAAUACUGGAUAUUCACUCAUUGGCGCAUGUUGGUGGGUGGAAAGGUUUUUUCUGGUGGGGGAUGGGCUCGCGGCCUAUCAGCUUGUUGGUGGGGUGAUGGCCUACCAAGGCUUUGACGGGUAACCGGCCUGAGAGGGUGACCGGUCACAUUGGGACUGAGAUACGGCCCAGACUCCUACGGGAGGCAGCAGUGGGGAAUUUUGCACAAUGGGCGCAAGCCUGAUGCAGCGACGCCGCGUGAGGGAUGAAGGCCUUCGGGUUGUAAACCUUUUUCGCUCAUGGUCAAGCCGCAGCUUUGGGUUGUGGUGAGGGUAGUGGGUAAAGAAGCGCCG